AAGCUUCUAAUAUACUUUUUCUCUUGUAAACUAUCUAUCUUAAUUCUCCUUGCGGUUAGCAUCAAACAAUUGGUAUCAGAGCCAUUCAAUAAAAGUUCAAAUUCUUUUCAAUUCAUUUUCAAAUUUCAUUUUUGGGAGAAGAGUUUGAUAAUUUUAGUUCUAUUCAAAUAAAUUAUUUUAUUCAUCAAGAAUUUUUAUUAUUUCAAGAGAUUGAAUUUUGAAGAUCUAGACUCUACAUCUACCAUACAUCCAUGUUUAAGUUUGUGAUCUCAAUAGUAAGACGCAAGGAAGCACAGUAAAACCGUU
rnacentral:lncRNA from 1 species